rnacentral:rRNA from 1 species
GAUGAACGCUGGCGGCGUGCCUAAUACAUGCAAGUCGAGCGAACAGACGAGAGUGCUUGCACUCUCUGAUGUUAGCGGCGGACGGGUGAGUAACACGUGGGUAACCUACCUAUAAGACUGGGAUAACUUCGGGAAACCGGAGCUAAUACCGGAUAAUAUUUAGCUUCGCAUGAAGCAAUAGUGAAAGACGGUUCUGCUGUCACUUAUAGAUGGACCCGCGGUGUAUUAGCUAGUUGGUGAGGUAACGGCUCACCAAGGCAACGAUACAUAGCCGACCUGAGAGGGUGAUCGGCCACACUGGGACUGAGACACGGCCCAGACUCCUACGGGAGGCAGCAGUAGGGAAUCUUCCGCAAAGGACGAAAGUCUGACGGAGCAAUGCCGCGUGAGUGAAGAAGGUUUUCGGAUCGUAAAACUCUGUUGUAAGGGAAGAACAAGUACGUUAGUAACUGAACGUACCUUGACGGUACCUUACCAGAAAGCCACGGCUAACUACGUG